UGCGUAGGCGGUUUGUUAAGUCUGUUGUGAAAUCCCCGGGCUCAACCUGGGAAUGGCAAUGGAUACUGGCAAGCUAGAGUGUGUCAGAGGAUGGUGGAAUUCCCGGUGUAGCGGUGAAAUGCGUAGAGAUCGGGAGGAACAUCAGUGGCGAAGGCGGCCAUCUGGGACAACACUGACGCUGAAGCACGAAAGCGUGGGAGGCAAACA
rnacentral:rRNA from 1 species